GAUUUCUGGCUAACCGCGAAUGAUCGGGUUUCCUCAGGAUUCUUUGUAUCUCCGUGUGUCUGCCAUCCUUCCAGAGAGCUGUGCCUACCGUCUCGACGGCAGGGCGCUGCGAUCUGGAUCGUUUACUUUGAAAAAAUUAGAGUGUUCCAAGCAAGCUUACGCUUUGAAUACAUUAGCAUGGAAUAAUAAUAUAGGACUUCUGUUCUAUUUUGUUGGUUUCUAGGACCGAAGUAAUGAUUGAUAGGGACAGUUGGGGGUGCUAGUAUUCAGCGGCCAGAGGUGAAAUUCUUGGAUUCGCUGAAGACUAACUACUGCGAAAGCAUU
rnacentral:rRNA from 1 species